AUUGAACGCUGGCGGCAUGCCUUACACAUGCCAGUCGAACGGUAACAGGUCUUCGGAUGCUGACGAGUGGCGAACGGGUGAGUAAUACAUCGGAACGUGCCCGAUCGUGGGGGAUAACGAGGCGAAAGCUUUGCUAAUACCGCAUACGAUCUACGGAUGAAAGCGGGGGAUCUUCGGACCUCGCGCGGACGGAGCGGCCGAUGGCAGAUUAGGUAGUUGGUGGGAUAAAAGCUUACCAAGCCGACGAUCUGGAGCUGGUCUGAGAGGAUGAUCAGCCACACUGGGACUGGGACACGGCCCAGACUCCUACGGGAGGCAGCAGUGGGGAAUUUUGGACAAUGGGCGAAAGCCUGAUCCAGCCAUGCCGCGUGCAGGAUGAAGGCCUUCGGGUUGUAAACUGCUUUUGUACGGAACGAAAAGCCUCUUUCUAAUAAAGAGGGGUCAUGACGGUACCGUAAGAAUAAGCACCGGCUAACUACGUG
rnacentral:rRNA from 1 species